UCAGCCCUUUGUCGCUAAGAU
rnacentral:snRNA from 1 species